rnacentral:rRNA from 1 species
CCUACGGGAGGCAGCAGUGAGGAAUAUUGGUCAAUGGGCGCGAGCCUGAACCAGCCAAGUAGCGUGAAGGAUGACUGCCCUACGGGUUGUAAACUUCUUUUAUAAAGGAAUAAAGUGAGGCACGUGUGCCUUUUUGUAUGUACUUUAUGACUAAGAAGCCCCGGCUAACUACGUGCCAGCACCCGCGGUAAUACGUAGGGGGCAAGCGUUAUACGGAUUUACUGGGUGUAAAGGGGGCGCAGACGGCAGCGUAAGCCAGGGGUGAAAGCCCGGGACCCAACCCCGGGACUGCUCUUGGAACUGCGCGGCUGGAGUGCAGGAGGGGCAGGCGGAAUGCCUGGUGUAGCGGUGAAAUGCGUAGAUAUCAGGAGGAACACCGGUGGCGAAGGCGUCCUGCUGGACUGCGACUGACGUUGAGGCCCGAAAGCGUGGGGAGCAAACAGGAUUAGAUACCCUAGUAGUC